GCUAAGAAUAUUCCGCAAUGGACGAAAGUCUGACGGAGCGACGCCGCGUGGAUGAUGAAGGCCGAAAGGUUGUAAAGUCCUUUUGCUGGGGAAGAAUAAGCGUGGGAGGGAAUGCCCGCGUGAUGACAUGAACCGGCGAAUAAGCCCCGGCUAACUACGUGCCAGCAGCCGCGGUAACACGUAGGGGGCAAGCGUUGUUCGGAAUUACUGGGCGUAAAGGGCAUGUAGGCGGCCUUGUAAGCUUGGCGUGAAAGUCCACGGCUUAACCGUGGGAUUACGUUGAGAACUGCGAGGCUUGAGUGACGGAGAGGGAGCUAGAAUUCCUGGUGUAGGGGUGGAAUCUGUAGAUAUCAGGAAGAAUACCAAUGGCGAAGGCAAGCUCCUGGCCGAUGACUGACGCUGAGGUGCGAAAGUGUGGGGAUCAAACAGGAUUAGAAACCCUGGUAGUCC
rnacentral:rRNA from 1 species